GCGGGUGUCGUAUAGUGGUUAUUAUGUCAGUUUUCCAAACUGAUGAUGCGGGUCCGAUUCCCGCCACCCGCUCCA
rnacentral:tRNA from 3 species